UACGUAGGGUGCGAGCGUUGUCCGGAAUUAUUGGGCGUAAAGGGCUCGUAGGCGGUUUGUCACGUCAGGAGUGAAAACUCGGGGCUCAACCCCGAGCCUGCUUCUGAUACGGGCAGACUAGAGGUAUGCAGGGGAGAACGGAAUUCCUGGUGUAGCGGUGAAAUGCGUAGAGAUCCGGAAGAACACCGGUGGCGAAGGCGGUUAGCUGGGCAGUUGCUGACACUGAGGCGCGACAGCGUGGGGAGCAAACAGG
rnacentral:rRNA from 1 species